AGAGUUUGAUCAUGGCUCAGAUUGAACGCUGGCGGCAGGCCUAACACAUGCAAGUCGAACGGUAACAGGAAACAGCUUGCUGUUUCGCUGACGAGUGGCGGACGGGUGAGUAAUGUCUGGGAAACUGCCUGAUGGAGGGGGAUAACUACUGGAAACGGUAGCUAAUACCGCAUAACGUCGCAAGACCAAAGAGGGGGACCUUCGGGCCUCUUGCCAUCGGAUGUGCCCAGAUGGGAUUAGCUAGUAGGUGGGGUAACGGCUCACCUAGGCGACGAUCCCUAGCUGGUCUGAGAGGAUGACCAGCCACACUGGAACUGAGACACGGUCCAGACUCCUACGGGAGGCAGCAGUGGGGAAUAUUGCACAAUGGGCGCAAGCCUGAUGCAGCCAUGCCGCGUGUAUGAAGAAGGCCUUCGGGUUGUAAAGUACUUUCAGCGGGGAGGAAGGGAGUAAAGUUAAUACCUUUGCUCAUUGACGUUACCCGCAGAAGAAGCACCGGCUAACUCCGUGCCAGCAGCCGCGGUAAUACGGAGGGUGCAAGCGUUAAUCGGAAUUACUGGGCGUAAAGCGCACGCAGGCGGUUUGUUAAGUCAGAUGUGAAAUCCCCGGGCUCAACCUGGGAACUGCAUCUGAUACUGGCAAGCUUGAGUCUCGUAGAGGGGGGUAGAAUUCCAGGUGUAGCGGUGAAAUGCGUAGAGAUCUGGAGGAAUACCGGUGGCGAAGGCGGCCCCCUGGACGAAGACUGACGCUCAGGUGCGAAAGCGUGGGGAGCAAACAGGAUUAGAUACCCUGGUAGUCCACGCCGUAAACGAUGUCGACUUGGAGGUUGUGCCCUUGAGGCGUGGCUUCCGGAGCUAACGCGUUAAGUCGACCGCCUGGGGAGUACGGCCGCAAGGUUAAAACUCAAAUGAAUUGACGGGGGGCCCGCACAAGCGGUGGAGCAUGUGGUUUAAUUCGAUGCAACGCGAAGAACCUUACCUGGUCUUGACAUCCACGGAAGUUUUCAGAGAUGAGAAUGUGCCUUCGGGAACCGUGAGACAGGUGCUGCAUGGCUGUCGUCAGCUCGUGUUGUGAAAUGUUGGGUUAAGUCCCGCAACGAGCGCAACCCUUAUCCUUUGUUGCCAGCGGUCCGGCCGGGAACUCAAAGGAGACUGCCAGUGAUAAACUGGAGGAAGGUGGGGGAUGACGUCAAGUCAUCAUGGCCCUUACGACCAGGGCUACACACGUGCUACAAUGGCGCAUACAAAGAGAAGCGACCUCGCGAGAGCAAGCGGACCUCAUAAAGUGCGUCGUAGUCCGGAUUGGAGUCUGCAACUCGACUCCAUGAAGUCGGAAUCGCUAGUAAUCGUGGAUCAGAAUGCCACGGUGAAUACGUUCCCGGGCCUUGUACACACCGCCCGUCACACCAUGGGAGUGGGUUGCAAAAGAAGUAGGUAGCUUAACCUUCGGGAGGGCGCUUACCACUUUGUGAUUCAUGACUGGGGUGAAGUCGUAACAAGGUAACCGUAGGGGAACCUGCGGUUGGAUCACCU
rnacentral:rRNA from 1 species